UUUUGUUAAAACUAUUAGUUUGAUUUUGUCAAUGACUUAUUUUUUAUACGACCGCAAAAAUUUUUUUUUUUUUGGGUCGUAUAUUGGUAUCACGUUGCCGUCGUCGUCGUCAGCGUCGUCCGAAGACAGAUGGUUUCCGGAUAAUAACUUUAGUAAAAGUAAAUAGAAAUCAAUAAAAUUUUAACACAAUGUUUGUAAGUAUUUCAAUUGCUCUGAUAUUGUACUACAAUGUUCCUACAAUAAAGUAGAAGGUUGAGAUUUAUUUUAAGGGUUAUGGGGCAAACAAUCUAGGAAUUAAGGGCAAACAAGGGGCCAAAAACAAGCAUUUUUGUAGUUUUGGGACAAUAACUUAUGUAUAACUGUAUGGAUCUCCCUGACAUUGUACCACAAGGUUCCAUAUAACGAAGGGAAGGCUUUUUUUAUAAUUUGGGGUUAAUAUCCCUGAACAUUUAGGAAUAAGGGGCCAAAAAAGAGCCAAAAAGAAGCAUUUUUCUAGAUUACAGGCAAUAACUGGGGUUUAAGUGAAUGGAUAUCUCUGAAAUUAUGCUACAAGGUUUCUUACUACAAAGGAAAGGCUGGAAUUGAGUUUAGGGGUUCUUACUCCAAGGUGGGAGGGGUUUCAAUAAGUGAGGGGUAAAAAAAGGUGCCCAAAUAAGCAUUUUUGUAGUUUUCAGUCAAUAACUUGUGUUUAAGUGUAUAAAUCUCGCUGAAGUUUCCAUACUACAAAGGGAUUGUUGAGGGGUUAUGGCUCAAACCAUUAAUCUAUUAGGAACAAAAAAGGGUGAAGACAAGGGUUUUUCUGGUGAAGGACAAUUUAGACAAUUUAAAAGCAGUGUAAGGGAGGUAAUGCAAUUAAAAUUUAAAUAAUACUGUUAUAUAUAAGUUUGAUUACUUGAUUACCUCCCUUACACUGCUUGUUUUCAAAAGUUUAUAGAAGAAAUCUUCAAUUGAACAGUAUUGUGCAAUAGAUUUGUUAGAUCUUGGACCACAUUUAUGUUGUGACAAAAACCCAUAUUAUGUCAAAAAUUUGAUCACGAUUCAAAUUCAGACAGUAUUAAGCUUGAAUAUUGUGACCAACUUUGCCCCAACUGUUCAGUGUUCGACCACUGCGGUCGUAUAAAGCUGCGCUCUGCGGAGCACCUGAUUGAGGUUUGGUUUGGUUUGGUUUAUUAUUUUAUGACUAAGAAUAAAAUUUAUUCCACG
rnacentral:lncRNA from 1 species